AUUGAACGCUGGCGGCAUGCCUUACACAUGCAAGUCGAACGGCAGCACGGGAGCAAUCCUGGUGGCGAGUGGCGAACGGGUGAGUAAUAUAUCGGAACGUGCCCAGUCGUGGGGGAUAACGCAGCGAAAGUUGUGCUAAUACCGCAUACGAUCUAUGGAUGAAAGCGGGGGAUCGCAAGACCUCGCGCGAUUGGAGCGGCCGAUAUCAGAUUAGGUUGUUGGUGAGGUAAAAGCUCACCAAGCCUGCGAUCUGUAGCUGGUCUGAGAGGACGACCAGCCACACUGGAACUGAGACACGGUCCAGACUCCUACGGGAGGCAGCAGUGGGGAAUUUUGGACAAUGGACGAAAGUCUGAUCCAGCAAUGCCGCGUGCAGGACGAAGGCCUUCGGGUUGUAAACUGCUUUGUACAGAACGAAAAGUACUUUAAUAACACUAGAGGCUCAUGACGGUACUGUAAGAAUAAGCACCGGCUAACUACG
rnacentral:rRNA from 1 species